rnacentral:rRNA from 1 species
AUUGAACGCUGGCGGCAGGCCUAACACAUGCAAGUCGAGCGGCAGCGGGAAAGUAGCUUGCUACUUUUGCCGGCGAGCGGCGGACGGGUGAGUAAUGCCUGGGAAAUUGCCCAGUCGAGGGGGAUAACAGUUGGAAACGACUGCUAAUACCGCAUACGCCCUACGGGGGAAAGCAGGGGACCUUCGGGCCUUGCGCGAUUGGAUAUGCCCAGGUGGGAUUAGCUUGUUGGUGAGGUAAUGGCUCACCAAGGCGACGAUCCCUAGCUGGUCUGAGAGGAUGAUCAGCCACACUGGAACUGAGACACGGUCCAGACUCCUACGGGAGGCAGCAGUGGGGAAUAUUGCACAAUGGGGGAAACCCUGAUGCAGCCAUGCCGCGUGUGUGAAGAAGGCCUUCGGGUUGUAAAGCACUUUCAGCGAGGAGGAAAGGUUGGUMGCUAAUAACUGCCAACUGUGACGUUACUCGCAGAAGAAGCACCGGCUAA